rnacentral:rRNA from 1 species
AUAAGAGGUCUAGCCUGCCCAGUGACACUGUUUAACGGCCGCGGUAUCCUAACCGUGCGAAGGUAGCGUAAUCACUUGUCCUUUAAAUGAGGACUAGUAUGAAUGGCAUCACGAGGGUUAUACUGUCUCCUUUUUCUAAUCAGUGAAACUAAUCUCCCCGUGAAGAAGCGAGGAUACAUCUAUAAGACGAGAAGACCCUAUGGAGCUUUAAACGAAACAACAUUUGCUAUUUUAUUCACCAUUUCAGAAAAUUAACUUUUAUCUUAGCAUUAUGCCUGUUAGUUUUAGGUUGGGGUGACCGCGGAGAAAAAAGUAACCUCCACAUUGAAAGGGGCUCCCCCUAAGCAAAAAGCCACAACUUUAUGCAUCAACAAAUUGACAUCAAUUGACCCAAUAUUUUGAUCAACGAAACAAGUUACCCUAGGGAUAACAGCGCAAUCCACUUCGAGAGCCCAUAUCGACAAGUGGGUUUACGACCUCGAUGUUGGAUCAGGG